rnacentral:rRNA from 1 species
GACGAACGCUGGCGGCGUGCUUAACACAUGCAAGUCGAACGGAAAGGCCCUGCUUUUGUGGGGUGCUCGAGUGGCGAACGGGUGAGUAACACGUGAGUAACCUGCCCUUGACUUUGGGAUAACUUCAGGAAACUGGGGCUAAUACCGGAUAGGAGCUCCUGCUGCAUGGUGGGGGUUGGAAAGUUUCGGCGGUUGGGUAUGGACUCGCGGCUUAUCAGCUUGUUGGUGGGGUAGUGGCUCACCAAGGCUUUGACGGGUAGCCGGCCUGAGAGGGUGACCGGCCACACUGGGACUGAGAUACGGCCCAGACUCCUACGGGAGGCAGCAGUGGGGAAUAUUGCACAAUGGGCGGAAGCCUGAUGCAGCAACGCCGCGUGCGGGAUGACGGCCUUCGGGUUGUAAACCGCUUUCGCCUGUGACGAAGCGUGAGUGACGGUAAUGGGUAAAGAAGCACCGGCUAACUACGUG